rnacentral:pre_miRNA from 1 species
AAAAUACUCCCUCCAUUUGGAAUUACUUGUCACAGAAAUGUAUGUAUCUAGACGUAUUUUAGUUCUACAUACAUCCAUAUCCGAGACAAGUAAUUCCGAACGGAGGGAGUAUGAU